ensembl:lncRNA
GUGGAAAAUCCGAGACCUGAGGGUCCCAAGAUAACAAGCCAGGCCAGGGGGAGCCCCGUCCACUGUGCGCUGGGGUGGUGCCCUUCACAGUCUGCCAAGCUGUCCCUCCUGGCCGGGAUUGCCAGCUAUAUUGUAGGCUGUGCAUGUAUUAUCCACGUACUGACUAAUAAAAUGCUAAAUAGCCUGCCUGAGAAAAAUACACCUCGUGGACAAAGUAGGAUGAAGUCAUUUCAACCAUAAAUGCCAAGAGAACCGAACAUUUGGUCAGUUGGAGAUUUUAUGAGAAGGGAGGACGACAGACGUGGGUUCACCUCUGCCUCACAUGGACUGAUUUUCAGUUCCCGCUUGACAUACGAACAUGAUGUGACGCGACGGCUGAAAACACCUGCAGUCCUGCUAGCUGCAGACCCACAACCAGGGUCUGGCCCUGCCUCCACCCACCCUUUUUCCUCACCUGAAGGAGGGAGACAGCCCAGCAGAAGCUAUUUUCCUUUAUAGCUGAGUGACUCGGAAAACUGGCUUAAUAAAAUCCAUAAAUCUGAACAACCUCCUCUCACCUGCUCUGCAGAGGCAAUUUUUCCUGCACGUAUUUUCUCCUCGAGUUUCUCCAGUCUUCCCCACAGAGACAGUGGUAGAGGGUUAGCUGGGAACAUUAUUUUUUUAGGGUUCCCACUCCUUCCUUCUCUCUUUGUCAAUCCGCUCCCUACUCAAGUGUGUCUCUUUUCUAAGCAAUUGAUGACAGGACGUACCUUCAUUUUCUUUUGAUGACAAGCGCCAUUUUUCCUUGUUUGGAUUAACGUUCACCUUCCCUUUGGCCAUCUCUUACCACCUGCAUUGGGCCCUGUAUUUUCCUUGUUAGUCAUUUUCUUUUGGCUCUCCUCCUUCCCUCCUCCUUUUCCCCCAUUUGCCUGGUUUAUAAUUUUCUUUUCCUCCAUUUCUGGUCAUGUAGAAUCUUUCUUCUUCCUCAUGGUUACCUUGCUCUUCCCUUACUUCUGUUUUGGUUCCUUAAUUUACUCAUUCUUUAAACAUUCCCCCAACGUCUACUAUGUGCCAGGAAGACAAUGUCCUUGGUGGAACUUGGCCCCUCUUUCUCUGAGUAAAGUUAAUAACUGACACUGACCAGCAACAACAAGAACAGAAGUGGUUUUAAAUUUUAGAUUUUUUUUGGAACUGGAAUGGGCUUCAAGGUUCAUCUGGUCCAGAGAUUUCGAAUUCCUCAGAGGCCCUUUAUGGGCCGCUGGGUAUGUAAUCAAAGAGAUGAGGCUUCAUAGGGCUCCCCCAACCCAGCUUCAAACAGAGGACUUGGACUUUUAGAUGUUUUAUGUCUUGGGGAUUCUUUGUAAGAUUUAUUUGAACAAAGAGUUCUAAGGUUCAGUUAUGUUUGAAAAUAAUUUCUUAGUGUAAUCUCAUUUGACAAAUGAGGAAAAAGGAAGAAGUUAGUGAUUUGUCUAAAGCCAUCCAGAGAAUAAUACCAGAGCUAGGGCACAAGUCUAGCUUCUAGCCCAGCAUUGUUUCAUUUUUUUCUUUUUUUGGUUGCACCUCAUGGCAUGCAGGAUCUUAGUUCCUUUGUGGUGGAAGAUUCUUAACUACUGGACCACCAGGAAAGCCCCACAGCGGGGCCUUUGGAUAGGGCGUACAAUGUCCUCAGCCUCUCAGCAUCCUAAUCUCUGCAUCUGUUUAAUAGAGCUUAUUCUUAUCUAUGGGCUUCCCAAGUGGUGCUAGUAGUAAAUAACCUGCCUGCCAGUGCAGAAGACAUAAGAGACCCGAGUUCGAUCCCUGGGUUGGGAAGAUCCCUGGAGGAGGGCAUGGCAACCACUCCACUAUUCUUGCCUGGAGAAUCCCAUGGACAGAGGAGCCUAGCGGGCUACAGUCCAUAGGGUCACAAAGAGUCAGUCAUGACUGAAGCAAUUUAGCAUGCACACAUUCUUACCUGUUAUAAACCUGGAUUUCUGUAGGAUAUUUGUUCACUGCCCAGACUGUUAUUUCUUAAUCUUUCAAGCAUUAUAUUUUAUACUUAAGGAAAAUCCAAAAUUGGGGAGCCCUCCAUUUGGCUUUCAGUUGGCACUGGCAGUAACCUUAAACUUCAUGCUGAAACUCAUCACUAGAACUCAAGUUGUCAAUGAUUAUUCUCUGUGGCUCUGCUGUGUCCUGUGAAAUGUCUCACUGUUGGAAAUAGUUCUGAAUGUUCCCGUGUCACUCAUGGUAAAUCCACCUAUAGAUUUUCUUUCAUCCUGACUUUUAAUUAAAGUCUAUCAAUCCUG